CACAGUGAUCCUCCUGCCUCAGCCUCCCGAGUGCUGAGAUUACAGGUAUUAAAUAGUCUACCUCAGGUAACCCGGCUGGUAAGUGGCUGAGCCAAGACUCAGAACCAGGUGCUUUCUGUUUUUCUAAAUUUUAUUAUCUACUUUGUUUCAUGUAUUUUAUUUUGUAUAGAUUUGAUAGGAUAAAGAUGCUGUGCUUUUGUACAUGACAAGAUCUUAAGUGUAGAAAAUUCUAAGGAAUUAACUGAAAAACAAUUAGAAGUAAUAAAAUGAGUUCCACAUA